rnacentral:rRNA from 2 species
CCUUAGUAACGGCGAGUGAAGCGGCAACAGCUCAAAUUUGAAAGCUGGCUCCUUUGGAGUCCGCGUUGUAAUUUGUAGAGGAUGAUUCGGCAAGGGCUCCCGCCUAAGUCUCCUGGAACGGAGCGUCAUAGAGGGUGAGAAUCCCGUAUGCGGUGGGCUGCCUAAGCCAUGUGAAUCUCCUUCGACGAGUCGAGUUGUUUGGGAAUGCAGCUCUAAAUGGGAGGUAAAUUUCUUCUAAAGCUAAAUACCGGCCAGAGACCGAUAGCGCACAAGUAGAGUGAUCGAAAGAUGAAAAGCACUUUGGAAAGAGAGUUAAAAAGUACGUGAAAUUGUUGAAAGGGAAGCGCUUGCAGCCAGACUUGUCCGCAGUUGCUCAGCCGGUCUCCUGACCGGUGUACUCUUCUGCGGCCAGGCCAGCAUCAGUUCGGGCGGUCGGAUAAAGACCUCGGGAAUGUAGCUCCUCUCGGGGAGUGUUAUAGCCCGGGGUGGAAUGCGGCCAGCCUGGACUGAGGAUCUCGCUUCGGCUAGGAUGCUGGCGUAAUGGCUGUAAGCGGCCCGUCUUGAAACACGGACCAAGGAGUCUAACAUCUAUGCGAGUGUUUGGGUGUCAAACCCAUGCGCGUAAUGAAAGUGAACGGAGGUGGGAACCCUCACGGGUGCACCAUCGACCGAUCCUGAUGUCUUCGGAUGGAUUUGAGUAAGAGCAUAGCUGUUGGGACCCGAAAGAUGGUGAACUAUGCCUGAAUAGGGUGAAGCCAGAGGAAACUCUGGUGGAGGCUCGCAGCGGUUCUGACGUGCAAAUCGAUCGUCAAAUUUGGGUAUAGGGGCGAAAGACUAAUCGAACCAUCUAGUAGCUGGUUCC